GAGAAGUUUAGUGAAGUAUAAUUGAGUAUAUGCUUGAUUAAAUAUAUGUUUGAAGAUAAAUUAAAUGAAUCUUUUAUGGAUUAUAUGUUUUCAUGAAGUACGUUUUCAAGAUAUCUAUUCACUUACUUUUUAUAUUCAUAAAUUAAUGAUGCAUAAUUCUUAGAAACACAUUAUGCUUUAUUGUAUAUAUACUCAAAGUUUUAUCAUCGUUGAAAAGGAAGAGAUUGUUAGCCCCA
rnacentral:lncRNA from 1 species